UACGUAGGGACCAAGCGUUGUUCGGAUUUACUGGGCGUAAAGGGCGCGUAGGCGGCGCGGUAAGUCACUUGUGAAGUCUCUGAGCUUAACUCAGAACGGCCAAGUGAUACUGCAGUGCUAGAGUGUGGAAGGGGCAAUCGGAAUUCUUGGUGUAGCGGUGAAAUGCGUAGAUAUCAAGAGGAACACCUGAGGUGAAGACGGGUUGCUGGGCCAACACUGACGCUGAGGCGCGAAAGCCAGGGGAGCAAACGGG
rnacentral:rRNA from 1 species